CCCUUCACCUCCUGGUGUCCCUAAGGAUGUCAGCUGAGACAGCUUCAUCACUGGUCCUGGUUCCUUCAUCAGUGCUGUAAUUUUCUGGGAUUCACCUCCAUAAAGAGAUCUAAGGAUCCAUCAUUACAAAAUCUGCAUAAGCUUACAGGGGCCAGAGCAGCUAAUAAAGAUCACUGGGAAAUGACUAAUGCAUAUGCGCUGCCACUGUACCUACCACUGUCUUUGCUGGUCUCUGGAGAGGUGCUGGGAGAGCACAACAGCCACUGGUGGAGAAAAACAAGAGAAGAGAAAGGAUUCAUCUGCCAGGAAGAGAUGCAGUCAUGACUCUGGCUUGGUGUGAUAAACAGCAUGUGCUGUUCAGAGAUCUGGCUGUGCACAGGCCAUAUUCCCUUGAUCUCUCUCCAACUUGGAGAUCCUUCUGCUGUGGUUGAUGUGAACAAAUCUCAUGCUUUGUAUCACCUCCUUUGCAAAUGAGAGAACCACAAGGAACUCAAUCUCUAUGUGUGAAAAUGGAGACCAGCAACAUGUUCUUCUAAUACAAAAGCAGCAGAGGAAAGGGCAAAUGUGCAGGCUUCCUAGAGAAGGUUGAGUUUUGGGAUACUUGAUUUGGGAUCCUGAACACGAGAUCUCCAGUGGGUGAAUGUCUUCACUUGUGGCUGGUCACAGGUAGGACUGGGAGUGAAAGGCAGGCUGUGUUUGUAAGUAGCUGAAGAUGCAGAAGGUAGGAUCUUGGAACUUGAGGCUGUUUCUCAAAAUGUGUGCUUUAACAUUCCAAUGAUUUAACUUUCCCAUCCACAAAUAGGAAGUAAAUCUUCAUCAUCAGUGAAGAACUUAAAAAGUUCAGUGUUUAUACAUGCUACUUCAGAGAAGCAGAAAUACAAAAAAAUCCUUUUUGUUCAUCUGAAUGUCUCAAAGCUCUUUUAAACUGUUAAUUAAUUGAGCAGUCAUAAUGAUGUGCCAAUGGGGAUGAAGGGGGAGGAAUAAUUUACAGGUGGGAGAAAUGAGGCAUGAAUGACUUCCUAGCCUUACCUGUGCCAUGCUGUUAGUCUGUGUCAGAUCCAGACAGAUACCUUCUGUCCUGUCUCCUUUUGCAUCUGUGAUGGGUGGCUGGGAGCAUCAGUUUUCUCCUCCUUCCUGCUUCCUCCUCUUCUUCUGUAGAGAACCCAUCUCCUUAUCCUCAGGCUGCUGUUUCAUGGAAGUCCAUGUGGCUCUGUCUCUGAGGGAGCAGGCCUGGAAGCUGGAACAUGUUUCAACUCCCACUGGACAUGACACAGCCAGAGAGUCAACUCCACUGCAUGGGAGAAAGGAAAUGAAACCUCAGGUUGCUCUUAGAACAAUGGCACAUUCUGCCCUGCCUUCCUCCUUCUGACUUUAUGCACAGCUGAAUUAUGGUGUGCUGUCCUCUGCACACCUUCCACAACAACUCAGUUUAUACCUUUGCUGCACUGAGCAGAGUACCUCAGGAAUAUCUGACCUGGCUCUGAAAUACCAGCUCACCUCUAAGAAACAACAGAGCCCUCGUUGUCAUUGCCUCUUUCUUGUCUGAACUCCUGUAUCCGAGGUCAGUACACUUUUGUACAGAAAACGUUGAAUCUUCUGGCAUAUAUAGAAUAAAUGAGCACAAGGUAAAUUCAAUUUGUUUAAAACUUACAGAAUGGGCAGGAUAAAACUACUGCUUAGGAAAAUAACUGGUGCAGAAUUUCAUCUGGAAUUUGGCUGAGAAUUCUGUUUAAACUUAGAUAAACACAGCUAUGAAACUCAUGAAGAUGUCACAUCAGUAGCUCACCCAACAACUUUGAGAGCCUCCUGGGAAGGUAAUCCCAGCACCAACAGUAAUCAGUAAUUCCAACAGGCUGCUUUCCUCUAGCUACUCCUUAUUGAGCUCCUGAAACUUCAGGCAUGAAGUUUUUCUUCUACCCAACAUGGUUCCAACUGCUUCUCCCUAUCAGUUAUUCAUAUCUGAAAGGGAAAGGAAAAAUAUUGACUUAAAUUGCUGGACCCUGGAACACAAGUUUUUUUAUUUAACUGACAGGGCUUAUGGUUACCUUCAGACGUAGCUUUUAAAGUAGUUUUUAGCUGGAUGACAGAGAUAAGCCCUCCAGGAAAAAGCAGCAGUAAAG